GUUGGAAAGAGACGUAGUUACCGAGUGAAAGCUGAGUUUAUUGCUUUAUUUUGCCCCCUAGUGGAAAAACAG